GACGAACGCUGGCGGCGUGCCUAAUACAUGCAAGUUGAGCGCUGAAGGUUGGUACUUGUACCAACUGGAUGAGCAGCGAACGGGUGAGUAACGCGUGGGGAAUCUGCCUUUGAGCGGGGGACAACAUUUGGAAACGAAUGCUAAUACCGCAUAAAAACUUUAAACACAAGUUUUAAGUUUGAAAGAUGCAAUUGCAUCACUCAAAGAUGAUCCCGCGUUGUAUUAGCUAGUUGGUGAGGUAAAGGCUCACCAAGGCGAUGAUACAUAGCCGACCUGAGAGGGUGAUCGGCCACAUUGGGACUGAGACACGGCCCAAACUCCUACGGGAGGCAGCAGUAGGGAAUCUUCGGCAAUGGACGAAAGUCUGACCGAGCAACGCCGCGUGAGUGAAGAAGGUUUUCGGAUCGUAAAAAUCUGUUGGUAGAGAAGAACGUUGGUGAGAGUGGAAAGCUCAUCAAGUGACGGAAACUACCCAGAAAGGGACGGCUAACUACGUG
rnacentral:rRNA from 1 species